rnacentral:rRNA from 1 species
AUUGAACGCUAGCGGGAUGCCUUACACAUGCAAGUCGAACGGAGUGGCGAACGGGUGCGUAAUGUAUCGGCACGUGCCCAGUAGCGGGGGAUAACUACGCGAAAGCGUAGCUAAUACCGCAUACUAUUGGAGCGGCCGCUCUCGGAGUAGCUAGUUGGUGGGGUAACGGCUCACCAAGGCGACGAUCCGUAGCUGGUUUGAGUGGACGACCAGCCACACUGGGGCGGGGACACGGCCCAGACUCCUACGGGAGACCGCAGUGGGGAAUUUUGGACAAUGGGGGAAACCCUGAUGCAGCCAUCCCGCGUGUGCGAUGAAGGCCUGCGGGUUGUAAAGCACUUUUGGCAGGAAAGCGGUACCUGAAGAAUAAGCACCGGCUAACUACGUGCCAGCAGCCGCGGUAAUUC